GUGUAGAGGUGGCAGGUAGCCUAGUGGUUAGAGUGUAGAGGUGGCAGGUAGCCUAGUGGUUAGAGUGUAGAGGUGGCAGGUAGCCUAGUGGUUAGAGCGUAGAGGUGGCAGGUAGCCUAGUGGUUAGAGUGUAGAGGUGGCAGGUAGCCUAGUGGUUAGAGUGUAGAGGUGGCAGGUAGCCUAGUGGUUAGAGUGUAGAGGUGGCAGGUAGCCUAGUGGUUAGAGUGUAGAGGUGGCAGGUAGCCUAGUGGUUAGAGCGUAGAGGUGGCAGGUAGCCUAGUGGUUAGAGUGUAGAGGAGGCAGGUAGCCUAGUGGUUAGAGUGUAGAGGCGGCAGGUAGCCUAGUGGUUAGAGUGUAGAGGUGGCAGGUAGCCUAGUGGUUAGAGUGUAGAGGAGGCAGGUAGCCUAGUGGUUAGAGUGUAGAGGAGGCAGGUAGCCUAGUGGUUAGAGUGUAGAGGUGGCAGGUAGCCUAGUGGUUAGAGUGUAGAGGCGGCAGGGUAGCCUAGUGGUUAGAGUGUAGAGGUGGCAGGUAGCCUAGUGGUUAGAGUGUAGAGGCGGCAGGGUAGCCUAGUGGUUA